GAGUAAUACAUAUUUAACUUACUUCCGCGAGUAGGAUAGCAGCCCGAAAGGGCUAUUAAUACUACAUAGGUUUAUGGACUUGUAAAUUAAAGGAGGCGCCCUCGGGAGCCUCGCGCGGAAAAGGGAAUAUGUCCUAUUAGGUAGUUGGCGGGGUAAAGGCCCACCAAGCCAAUGAUGGGUAGCUGGACUGAGAGGUUGAACAGCCGCAAUGGGAUUGAGAUAUGGCCCAUAUUCCUACGGGAAGCAACAGUGAGGAAUUUUUCACAAUGGACGAAAGUCUGAUGGAGCAAUACCACGUGAACGAUGAAGGUCUUCUGAUUGUAAAGUUCUUUUAUUUAGGAAAAAAACCGCGCUAGGAAAUGAGCGCGCCUUGAUGGUACUAAUUGAAUAAGUGACAGCUAACUAUGUGCCAGCAGCUGCGGUAAAACAUAGG
rnacentral:rRNA from 1 species